rnacentral:rRNA from 1 species
ACACCGGCGGCCCGAGUGGUGAUCGUGAUUAUUGGGUCUAAAGGGUCCGUAGCCGGUUUGGUCAGUCCUCCGGGAAAUCUGAUAGCUCAACUAUUAGGCUUUCGGGGGAUACUGCCAGACUUGGAACCGGGAGAGGUAAGAGGUACUACAGGGGUAGGAGUGAAAUCUUGUAAUCCCUGUGGGACCACCUGUGGCGAAGGCGUCUUACCAGAACGGGUUGGACGGUGAGGGACGAAAGCUGGGGGCACGAACCGGUUUAGAUACCCGGGUAGUCCCAGCCGUAAACGAUGCUCGCUAGGUGUCAGGCAUGGCGCGACCGUGUCUGGUGCCGCAGGGAAGCCGUGAAGCGAGCCACCUGGGAAGUACGGCCGCAAGGCUGAAACUUAAAGGAAUUGACGGGG